rnacentral:lncRNA from 1 species
GUGGAGAGAAUAAUAUGAGAAGCACAGAGAUUGGAAAUAAUGGACAUCACUUGAAUGAAUUGUAUCUAACAAUGGAAAAGCAAGUAAUUGUAUGACAUUAACAUGAACUCCAGGAUGAGACAGAAGGAUUUAUUUAGGAACUUAUCCGGAGUCAAUGAAUAUUUCCCCCACCAUUUCCUUGCUUCUAAGAUGUUGCCUUCCUGCUGCCAGCUCCGGACAGGGAAAGGGAGGAAGGGCAAGAGACAGCACCCCCGACCUACAGCCCUUUCCAAAACUAGGGCGCUAAGCACCACUCGGAAGCCAUAUUUCUUCAUCUGGCUGAGUUUAUGAGUAAAAUUCAACAUGAAUUUUGGUGAAGACUCUGUUACUCAAAGGACAGGACCAGCCCCUCUUGAAGUCUGCUGCCACAGUAUGGCCCAGAGGCCCCACUGCAAAUUACCCUGUGAGACAAUCUAUGGGCUUCAAGACACUUGUCAGAAGCCCCGGAGGGGUGAGCUGGUGGGAGUGGGGCCCUCUGCAAGCACAGACCCUGCUGAGGUGGAAGUCCGAGUGCUGGUCUCCCGAAUGUCAGGACACGGAGCCAAGGAAAAAGCAGACUGGUGUGUCCUGAUCCCAGCCUGUGAUGGUUCACAAGCCCAUCUCUCUCUUCUUGAUUGUUUAGCCUUGGCCCUUGCAGGUCUGCUGUGCCUCUCCUGAGACUGGGCAUGCAGAGGUUCCUAGGGCUCUCCACCACUCACCCUGGUCUCCUUCCGACUGAGCCAAGCACACAAUGGGAGGCAGCCAUGUGCAAGCCAGGAAGAAAACCCUCACCAGAAACCAACCCGGUGAUGCUUUGAUCUUGGACUUUCAGCCUCCAGAACUGUGUGUCUGUUGUUAGGCAACCUUUAUUUAGUCAUGGUGACUUCCUAUUUCCCCAGCUCAGAAUCAGGCACAUCAUUGUAGUGGUGGGGCAACCUUGCUGAACUCAGUUUGUCUUCUAGGCACAUACCCUCCAAAACUCCCUUAGCAUUCUAAAGGCCAUCCUUUGGAACACUGGUCAUGCUCACAAACACUUCUGGAUUCUUCUUAUUUUUCCUCAAACUGCAUUCUCUUGUAGAUGGCAGAUGGCAAUCCUGGGAAUGGACCUACAGACUUGUGCAUCUCAGUUCAUGUGCAGGAUUAGUAGUGAUUUAUGACUUAUUUAUUACUUACAAGGGGCAUCACAGGCUGGGUCUUCUCUGUAGCCCCUACAGAGGCCUCACUCAGCAGAUCUCCACACGUUACGCGCAAAGUCCUAACCGUAGUGGCUUUUGGCUGUUCUUCAAAGCACUCACAUAUAGCAGCACAUGGUUGUGCAUCUAGAAAUUUUCAAAUCAUCCCUUCCUAGAUAGGAACAGGAAGGCACCAGCGACACAGGGGUCUAGCCAGUGGCAUGCUGUGUUCUUACUGAACCUGUUUAAAAAGAACUGCUUACACCGGGCCCCAAUGUGCCUUCUGCUGG